AAGUCGUAACAAGGUUUCCGUAGGUGAACCUGCGGAAGGAUCAUUAACGAAUAAACUCGGCGGGCUGCUGCUGGCUCUUCCGGGAGCAUGUGCACGCUCGUCGUCGUUUCUUCUUUCUCCACCUGUGCACCCUUGUAGGCCUUUGACACCGUUUCGAGAGUGUUUAACACCCUCGGUUUUUGAGGAGCUGUCGCUUUCAACGGUGACUUUCCUUGCGUCUUUGGCCUACGCACACACACAUACGCACCGUAUGCUCGAGUGACAGAACGUCUUUAUGGGGCCCUCUGCGGCCCUUCAAAACUUAUAUACAACUUUCAACAACGGAUCUCUUGGCUCUC
rnacentral:misc_RNA from 1 species